UACGGAGGGGGCUAGCGUUGUUCGGAAUUACUGGGCGUAAAGCGCACGUAGGCGGCUUCGCAAGUUAGAGGUGAAAGCCCGGGGCUCAACUCCGGAACUGCCUUUAAAACUGCAUCGCUAGAAUUGUGGAGAGGUAAGUGGAAUUCCGAGUGUAGAGGUGAAAUUCGUAGAUAUUCGGAAGAACACCAGUGGCGAAGGCGACUUACUGGACACAUAUUGACGCUGAGGUGCGAAAGCGUGGGGAGCAAACAGG
rnacentral:rRNA from 1 species